rnacentral:rRNA from 1 species
UACGUAGGGUGCAAGCGCUGUCCGGAAUUAUUGGGCGUAAAGAGCUCGUAGGUGGCCUGUCGCGUCGGCUGUGAAAACUCGGGGCUCAACUCCGAGCUUGCAGUCGAUACGGGCAGGCUAGAGUUCGGCAGGGGAGACUGGAAUUCCUGGUGUAGCGGUGAAAUGCGCAGAUAUCAGGAGGAACACCGGUGGCGAAGGCGGGUCUCUGGGCAGUAACUGACGCUGAGGAGCGAAAGCGUGGGGAGCGAACAGG